UUUUAUUUGAGAGUUUGAUCCUGGCUCAGGAUGAACGCUGGCGGCGUGCCUAACACAUGCAAGUUGAGCGAUUUACUUCGGUAAAGAGCGGCGGACGGGUGAGUAACGCGUGGGUAACCUACCCUGUACACACGGAUAACAUACCGAAAGGUAUGCUAAUACGGGAUAAUAUAUUUGAGAGGCAUCUCUU
rnacentral:rRNA from 1 species